GAUGAACGCUGGCGGCGUGCCUAAUACAUGCAAGUCGAGCGAACAGACGAGGAGCUUGCUCCUUCGACGUUAGCGGCGGACGGGUGAGUAACACGUAGGUAACCUACCUAUAAGACUGGGAUAACUUCGGGAAACCGGAGCUAAUACCGGAUAAUAUUUCGAACCGCAUGGUUCGAUAGUGAAAGAUGGCUUUGCUAUCACUUAUAGAUGGACCUGCGCCGUAUUAGCUAGUUGGUAAGGUAACGGCUUACCAAGGCAACGAUACGUAGCCGACCUGAGAGGGUGAUCGGCCACACUGGAACUGAGACACGGUCCAGACUCCUACGGGAGGCAGCAGUAGGGAAUCUUCCGCAAUGGGCGAAAGCCUGACGGAGCAACGCCGCGUGAGUGAUGAAGGUCUUCGGAUCGUAAAACUCUGUUAUUAGGGAAGAACAAACGUGUAAGUAACUGUGCACGUCUUGACGGUACCUAAUCAGAAAGCCGCGGCUAACUACGUG
rnacentral:rRNA from 1 species